GUUGAAGAAGCCACCAACAUUCUGACAGCAACAAGAAAAUGUUUCCGACACAUAGCCCUCGAUUAUGUGCUUCAGAUUAAUGUUCUUCAAUCAAAAAGGAGAUCAGAAAUCCUAAAAUCAAUGUUGUCAUUUAUGUAUGCCCAUUUGGCCUUCUUUCAUCAAGGAUAUGAUCUGUUUAGUGAACUUGGACCCUACAUGAAGGAUCUUGGUGCACAGUUGGAUCGACUGGUUGUGGAUGCAGCAAAGGAGAAAAGAGAAAUGGAGCAAAAACAUUCCACCAUUCAACAAAAGGUACCUCAGGGGAAAAAUUAAAAAUUAAUUCCACUUUAUACAAUGGCUUGGGUGUUGGUUUAUGCAAGGUAUCAUUGUAUUGGAACAAAUCUUUUGAGUUGUUCUAAUAAUUGUGCAGAUAAAUUCCUCUUUUGUUUUUGAAGAGCAAAAUGUUCUUCAGAUUUUAAGGUAUGUAUUUUGUUAUUUUUUCAGAUCUUUGAAAGCUAUGCUUCUUGAACCAGUUUAUAAAAAUUUGAAUCUCUUAGGAACUUAACUAAGCUAAAAGUGGCCUUUAGUUAGAAUUCAAAACACUAUUCAUAAUUACAUUUAGGAUACCACCAACUCCCUGUAAAAGUGUGUGUCCGUGUGUGUGUUGUGGGGCAGAGGGUGUGGAUGCACCUUAGUGUCAACAUGCGUGUUUGGUCUUACAGACUUUCCAACUGCAGUCACUGCAAGGCAGCCUUUCCUCUCUGUCACGAGAUGCUAAAACUUCACUUGCAUUGCCUGUUAAAUUGUCUAAGCCUAGCUAAACUUACUUUGAAAAUAUUUUUAAAAAUGAGAACUCAAAUAUUAAACCAGUUUUUAUUUCUUCAUGCUAAAAGAGUUUAGUGUGACAUUCCUGCAACUCAACUUUCUUAUAAAGUCAGUGGUGCUUUUUGUGUAGUUAUCUGAAAAUAAAAGGAGAGUGCUGAAGUUGAA
rnacentral:lncRNA from 1 species